UAGGACUGUUAUCUUAACGUUAACUGUUAAUAUUUUAAGAAGUGGUUGCAUUGGGUUGAAGAAGUGCAAUAUUAAAGUAAAAGCCAUGGGUCUUUUAGACCCAGUGUGUAAAGACACACCCUUGAGUUAUAACUCAGAGACACAUCU